UUGGAGGGCAAGUCUGGUGCCAGCAGCCGCGGUAAUUCCAGCUCCAAUAGCGUAUAUUAAAGUUGUUGCAGUUAAAAAGCUCGUAGUUGAACUUCGGGGUCUACCCAUUGGUCAGGCUUAAUUGUCUGCACUGGUGAGAUGGAUUUCUACCUUCUGAGGAACUUUCAUGCCAUUUAUUUGGUGUGAUGGGAAAUCAGGACUGUUACUUUGAAAAAAUUAGAGUGUUUAAAGCAGACUAUCGUCUGAAUACAUUAGCAUGGAAUAAUGAAAUAGGACGGACUGAUUCUAUUUCGUUGGUUUCUAGGAUCACCGUAAUGAUUAAUAGGGAUAGUUGGGGGCAUUAGUAUUCAAUUGUCAGAGGUGAAAUUCUUGGAUUUAUUGAAGACUAACUACUGCGAAAGCAUUUGCCAAGGAUGUUUUCAUUAAUCAAGAACGAAAGUUAGGGGAUCGAAGACGAUCAGAUACCGUCGUAGUCUUAACCAUAAACUAUGCCGACUAGGGAUCGGACGAAGUUAAUUUUAUAAUGACGCGUUCGGCGCCUUACGGGAAAC
rnacentral:rRNA from 1 species